AGUCCCGCAACGAGCGCAACCCUCGUUUUUAGUUGCCAGCAUUAAGUUGGGCACUCUAGAGAGACUGCCGGUGACAAACCGGAGGAAGGUGGGGAUGACGUCAAGUCAGCAUGCCCCUUACGUCUUGGGCUACACACGUACUACAAUGCUACGGACAGAGGGCAGCAAGCUAGCGAUAGCAAGCAAAUCCCGUAAACCGUAGCUCAGUUCAGAUCGCAGGCUGCAACUCGCCUGCGUGAAGGAGGAAUCGCUAGUAAUUGCAGGUCAGCAUACUGCAGUGAAUUCGUUCCCGGGCCUUGUACACACCGCCCGUCACACCAUGGAAGCUGGCAACGCCCGAAGUCAUUACUCCAACUUUUAGGAGAGGAGGAUGCCUAAGGCAGUGCUGACUCUUG
rnacentral:rRNA from 1 species